CUUUUAUAUGAGUGUAUUGCUCGACUUCCAUGGAUACUUAUUCCCUCUUUUUUCCCCUUAUAUGAGUCUACAUUUUCUGGUCGAAAAUGUUGGAAAAUCUCGUGGACUCUUGGACAUUAUUAUACCUCAUGGUAGCAGAAAGCCUGACCUGGAGGCUGAUAAAAAUCAUGAUGAGCAGUCUCCACCAAAUGUAGGGGUCAUGGACCAAGAAUCCGGUAAAUUCCACUAGUUUGAGACAUUGAGAAAUGAGCUAAUGGGAAUUGAGAAAUGCGUCCAAAAUAGUACUUAUAAGUC